rnacentral:ncRNA from 1 species
UGUCUCCUCCAAUCCUUCCUCAUAAGUUGGAUUCUCUGCCCGGCUCUCAGGAGCUGGGCAUUUUUUU